rnacentral:rRNA from 1 species
UAGGGAAUCUUCCGCAAUGGACGAAAGUCUGACGGAGCAAUGCCGCGUGAGUGAAGAAGGUUUUCGGAUCGUAAAACUCUGUUGUUAGAGAAGAACAAGGAUGAGAGUAACUGCUCUUCCCCCGACGGUAUCUACCAGAAGCGAGUCCAC